rnacentral:rRNA from 1 species
UACGUAGGGUGCAAGCAUUAAUCGGAAUUAUUGGGCGUAAAGGGCGCGUAGGCGGAUUGAUAAGUCAGAUGUGAAAUACCAAAGCUCAACUUUGGUGCUGCAUUUGAAACUGUCUCUCUAGAGGAUUGACGGAGAAAGGGGAAUUCCACGUGUAGCGGUGAAAUGCGUAGAUACGUGGAGGAACACCGGUGGCGAAAGCGCCUUUCUAGUUUAGACCUGACGCUGAGGCGCGAGAGCAAGGGGAGCAAAC